UACCUAAAGCAGUAAACC
rnacentral:snRNA from 1 species